UACGUAGGGUGCGAGCGUUAAUCGGAAUUACUGGGCGUAAAGCGUGCGCAGGCGGUUUUGUAAGUCAGAUGUGAAAGCCCCGGGCUCAACCUGGGAAUGGCAUUUGGGACUGCAAGGCUUGAGUGCGGCAGAGGAGACUGGAAUUCCUGGUGUAGCAGUGAAAUGCGUAGAUAUCGGGAGGAACACCAGUGGCGAAGGCGGUUGCCUGGAGCUUUGCUGACGCUGAGGCGCGAAAGCGUGGGGAGCGAUCCGG
rnacentral:rRNA from 1 species